UGCUGGAAGCCUGUGAAGGUGUGUCGUGAGGCAUGCUGGAGGUAUCAGAAGUGCGAAUGCUGACAUAAGUAACGAUAAAGCGGGUGAAAAGCCCGCUCGCCGGAAGACCAAGGGUUCCUGUCCAACGUUAAUCGGGGCAGGGUGAGUCGACCCCUAAGGCGAGGCCGAAAGGCGUAGUCGAUGGGAAACGGGUUAAUAUUCCCGUACUUGGUGUUACUGCGAAGGGGGGACGGAGAAGGCUAUGUUGGCCGGGCGACGGUUGUCCCGGUUUAAGCGUGUAGGUGUGUGUUCCAGGUAAAUCCGGUUCACUUUAACACUGAGGCGUGAUGACGAGGCACUACGGUGCUGAAGCAACAAAUGCCCUGCUUCCAGGAAAAGCCUCUAAGCAUCAGGUAACAUCAAAUCGUACCCCAAACCGACACAGGUGGUCAGGUAGAGAAUACCAAGGCGCUUGAGAGAACUCGGGUGAAGGAACUAGGCAAAAUGGUGCCGUAACUUCGGGAGAAGGCACGCUGACACGUAGGUGAAGUGAUUUACUCAUGGAGCUGAAGUCAGUCGAAGAUACCAGCUGGCUGCAACUGUUUAUUAAAAACACAGCACUGUGCAAACACGAAAGUGGACGUAUACGGUGUGACGCCUGCCCGGUGCCGGAAGGUUAAUUGAUGGGGUCAGCGCAAGCGAAGCUCCUGAUCGAAGCCCCGGUAAACGGCGGCCGUAACUAUAACGGUCCUAAGGUAGCGAAAUUCCUUGUCGGGUAAGUUCCGACCUGCACGAAUGGCGUAAUGAUGGCCAGGCUGUCUCCACCCGAGACUCAGUGAAAUUGAACUCGCUGUGAAGAUGCAGUGUACCCGCGGCAAGACGGAAAGACCCCGUGAACCUUUACUAUAGCUUGACACUGAACAUUGAGCCUUGAUGUGUAGGAUAGGUGGGAGGCUUUGAAGUGUGGACGCCAGUCUGCAUGGAGCCGACCUUGAAAUACCACCCUUUAAUGUUUGAUGUUCUAACGUGGACCCGUAAUCCGGGUUGCGGACAGUGUCUGGUGGGUAGUUUGACUGGGGCGGUCUCCUCCUAAAGAGUAACGGAGGAGCACGAAGGUUGGCUAAUCCUGGUCGGACAUCAGGAGGUUAGUGCAAUGGCAUAAGCCAGCUUGACUGCGAGCGUGACGGCGCGAGCAGGUGCGAAAGCAGGUCAUAGUGAUCCGGUGGUUCUGAAUGGAAGGGCCAUCGCUCAACGGAUAAAAGGUACUCCGGGGAUAACAGGCUGAUACCGCCCAAGAGUUCAUAUCGACGGCGGUGUUUGGCACCUCGAUGUCGGCUCAUCACAUCCUGGGGCUGAAGUAGGUCCCAAGGGUAUGGCUGUUCGCCAUUUAAAGUGGUACGCGAGCUGGGUUUAGAACGUCGUGAGACAGUUCGGUCCCUAUCUGCCGUGGGCGCUGGAGAACUGAGGGGGGCUGCUCCUAGUACGAGAGGACCGGAGUGGACGCAUCACUGGUGUUCGGGUUGUCAUGCCAAUGGCACUGCCCGGUAGCUAAAUGCGGAAGAGAUAAGUGCUGAAAGCAUCUAAGCACGAAACUUGCCCCGAGAUGAGUUCUCCCUGAGACUUAGAGUCUCCUGAAGGAACGUUGAAGACGACGACGUUGAUAGGCCGGGUGUGUAAGCGCAGCGAUGCGUUGAGCUAAC
rnacentral:rRNA from 1 species